CCUAACCCGAAAUUUCUUUUUCUCUGUCGCCUCUCUCUCCUUUAGCAGAAGAGUGGACGAUGAUGUUCUGGGAUUGAGCUUCACCAAGGAGAAAGCAAAGGCAGCAAAGCAUUUUUUUAUGAUGAUGAUACAGGAGAUUUCUUGCUAUUUUGAUCUGGAGCUUGGGAAAAUCAAGACUAAACGUUUUGCUGCAAGAGAGUGUAAUGGUGGACGACAUGAUUGGCACAACAGGAACCAUAAGCAAAGGUGUGGCUCUGUCACUUAUGCUUAAAGAUAGCUUACGUAUCUGAUCCUCAUACUGUGGAACAGGAAGAGGUAGGUCAAAAACUUUAUCCCAAACAAAAAGCGGGUCUUCUACUAAUGUUUUUGAUGAAGUUUGGAAUCAAUGGAAAAGCAUGCGUUUUAAGAACUCAGUUUCGGAUAUGUUGAUUUGGAGGUGAUAGCUAUACAACAGGUCAAGAGUUCAAUUAAAGAGAGGUGUUGACAUUGUUGUUAGAAUCCUUGGUCGUAUGAAGUGGAUGCUUCAAAUUCCUGGGGUAACCAGUUACAUGGGAUCCAUUGGAAAUGAUAAAUACAAAGAGGCAAUGAAGAAGGAUGUACAACAGCUGGUGUCAAUGUUCACCAUCAUGAAGAUGAGUCGUCAUCAACCGGAACUUGCGGUAUUUAUGUUGUUAAUGGAGAAAAAUCUUUUCAAUGGUCUUGGAAAACCAGCAGAAAAAUUGAAAUGAUGCACUACGCUAAGUGAGUUUAUUUUUGGUUGUUUUAAAAGUUAUUGUAAGUUUGAAGCAAUAAUAGGUUGUUUGGUCUUAAAGUUAAGCUUAGAUAGUAGCUAUAUUGUGCCUCUAAGAUUAACCGCUGAACUCAAGAUCAGAGAUGAUACUUCUCUAUUCUGUUUUCCAUAUUAUCCGCUCUGUACCUCAAAAUUAGAAUUUUAGUAAUUUAGUCAGUUUUGUUUUCUAGAAUUUUAAAUGAGCUUUACCUUUAUCAAAAUUUUUUGAGAUUUCCAACUGAUGAAAGUAUCAUUAGCUUAUCGAUCUUGUGGUCACCGAGAGGUUUGCUCUACAUGUGUCGUUCGUCUCCGUUUCGUCCUUAGGGAUCCUAUAUGUUGUAUCUGUAAGACCGAGUCUCCUAUCUUCUUCGUCACCAAGGGUGAUUAAUCACUGUUUACUCUUCAAUUGUAUCUAUGUUACCAAUGUUAUCGCAAUUAUCUUUUAUUUUCAUCUAAUAAUAUAAAACUUUGGCUGAGAUUAUUUCUUCUAUUACAAUUACUUAAAUAGUGAAGAACUUUUUGUAAAUUUUUCAACUUUGUCUAACUCAAUAGUUCAUCUAUGUCUCCCACUGAAUUGCUGAUAAGGGAUUUUAUGAUUACAAUUUGCAGGCAUUGGGUGAUUAUACAAGGACAAAAAAUGAUUCUCCACAUUGCUCUUCAUUUGAAGUUACUGUUCUUUAACCAUUUUUUUUCCUUAUGAUUAUUCUCUUUCAGGUAAACUGUGUGACUGUGUUUCCCAGAAGUUUAGAAACGGAUCACAGAGAGAUGAUGAAUAACUCGGUGCUGCUUUGAUUUAUCUCAAGAGAUUUUAGUUACUGUAUAAGCUCUAUUUUGCAAUGGGAUAGUUUGGAGGCGCUUGUGAAAUUGUGGAAGAGAAGGAUGAUGAAGUAAGAUUGCCAAAACAUUCCGGGAGAUAUGGUAAAUCUGUUAUGGGAUCAUCGAGUAAAGAUUCGGAGCGGAAGCCGCGAGAGUAUCAUGGCUCUCUUGAGUAUGACAUUGAUAAGCUUUUUCAGUCUAUUUCUGUGAAACCAUCAUCAACGAGGUUGAUGAGUUCUUCUUUCCAUCUUUGGAAUGUUACUGUCAAUCGGUGGGAUGUGUUUUAGUCUUGAUGAUGUGAAUAAGGAUUUCUUCUUAGUCUAAUGCAAGACUAUUGUUGCUGGCCUAGAAGUUUUGUAGUGAAUCAUAGUUAGUUAAGGGGAUAAAGGUGUAAAGCUGAGCUAGGUGAAAGUGUCACGGUAUUGGUUGGCGAUUAGGUCAGAUGACUAAGCAUAUGUACUGUAAAAAUUUCAAUCUUUGAUAAAUUGCAGGCGAUGGAAGGAAACAAACACAUGAAGAGCAUUGCCUGUUUGUUGAAUCCUUUUUUACUUUAUAUGCUUAGCUUGAGCAUAAUGUUACGCAUAAACUCUCUUCUUUUUCUGUAAUUCCUAAGGUCCGAUUGUACUUUCAUUUACUUUGUACUCUAUGUAGCUUUGAACCAAAAAGAACUUGAUUAUUUAUUAUUAUCACA